rnacentral:tRNA from 1 species
UUAACUGAAACCAAAAAGAGGUAUAUUACUGUUAAUAAUAAAAUUGAAUUAUAGAUUCCAGUUAAG